AUGGCAAUGGAUCCGGGACCCGGUCCAGAUCCGCGGAUCCAGACCCUUUUUUCCGGAUUUGGACCUUGCAAAAUUUGGACCCGGCGGAUCUGGACCGGAUCUGGACCACUCUCUAAAAAACCGGAUCCGGAUCUGGAGUAGAAGGUAUAAAACCCAGAUCCGGUCCAGAUCCGGCCCAGAUCCGGAUCUGGACCCGGUAAUAUUAUAGAUAUAAUAUUUUUAUUUUUUUAAUUUUAUCCAACCCUAAACAUAUCUAACUUUUGCAAUUCAAUUUCAAAAUCAAAACCCUACUUCAUCUAAUCAUCUCACGGUCUCACCUCACCUGCGCCGCUCACCUAUCCUCCACGCCACCCGCGCCGCUCGCCUAUCCUCCGGCCGGCGGCCGUGCACCUCCGAAUCAGCCCCUCCGGCCUUCCCCACCUGAGAGCAGCAGCGUGAGCAGAGCAGCGUGAGCAGCAGGCAACGCCAAUCCAUCUACGGCCGCUCCAUCUCCGUCCACCUUCGUCCACCUCCAGUCUCGGCCUUUCCCCCACCCGAAAUCUGUGGACUUGAGCGGAGGCUCUGCUGCAGAGCAGGUUCUCGGCGUGAGCAGAGCAGCGCAAGGCAACGCCAAUCCAUCUCCGGCCGCUCCUCUCCGGCCGUUGCUCGUCCUCUCCGACCGCUCCUCUCCGGCCGCUGCUGAUCCUCUCAUCAGGUAAAUUGGAGGACACACAUUCUUAUUCUAUUGUUACCGAAGAUUGUGAUGAAGAUGGAGAUCAAAUUGAUUAUAUUGAUAUGGAUGUUGAUGAUGUCGAAAGUAGCUGCAAUAUGGAAGACAUCUUUGAGGAUUACAGAAAUUGAUCGUUUCAAUAUUAUGAUUAUUAUGUUCUCAUUUUGGAUUGUUUGGUUUUAAAUGAAUUAUGAUGUUCUUAUUUAUUUUGGAUUGUUUAGUUUUAAAUGGAUUAUGGUGUAUUUUGUAUUCUUGAAUGAUUGUUGAAACUUUAGACAAUUGUUAUGAUUUUUAUUUUAAUGUUUAA